CUUGUACUCCCUCCGUCCAAAAAUACUUUUCAUUGAAAUGGAUGUAUCUAGAUGUAUUUUAGACCUAGACACAUCCAUUUUGAUGACAAGUAAUUCCGGACGGAGGGAGUACUUG
rfam:Triticum aestivum genome assembly, contig: Triticum_aestivum_CS42_TGACv1_scaffold_641576_T_4BS-0.176506_2AL-0.110589